UGGGGAAUAUUGGACAAUGGGCGAAAGCCUGAUCCAGCCAUGCCGCGUGUGUGAAGAAGGUCUUCGGAUUGUAAAGCACUUUAAGUUGGGAGGAAUGGCAGUAAGCUAAUACCUUGCUGUUUUGACGUUACCGACAGAAUAAGCACCGGCUAACUCUGUGCCAGCAGCCGCGGUAAUACAGAGGGUGCAAGCGUUAAUCGGAAUUACUGGGCGUAAAGCGCGCGUAGGUGGUUUGUUAAGUUGGAUGUGAAAGCCCCGGGCUCAACCUGGGAACUGCAUCCAAAACUGGCAGGCUAGAGUACGGUAGAGGGUGGUGGAAUUUCCUGUGUAGCGGUGAAAUGCGUAGAUAUAGGAAGGAACACCAGUGGCGAAGGCGACCACCUGGACUGAUACUGACACUGAGGUGCGAAAGCGUGGGGAGCAAACA
rnacentral:rRNA from 1 species